ACGGGAUGCCUUUCGGUUCCAUCCAAUCAUAGCAUCUGGGCACAGAGUCCUCAUGCCUGUCUCGAAUGUGAGCUAAAACCAGCUCUGCACAGGAUGGAGCAGGAGGAAGGCAGAGCUGGAGGCAGGCAAAGAUGCAGGGAGUUGAGCAUGAGGUCAUUCGUGCAUCCAGAGAAAUGAUAGCUUGGCUUUGGCUGCGUGGAGGAAGAGGGAGGAGGGAACUGAAGAGUAGGAUCCAUGGUGCAGAGUCGAUGCGACUGAUGGAAAUGAAACUGCCAGCCAGAUCUGGCAGCCUGGGAGAAGGGAGCAGCGGAGGAAUCAAAGUCCAGCAGACGGGCAAGAGAAGCUAUGAGCAGUGACGAGUGGGUGAGCGGAAUCAGUCCAGAGGAAGCCGUCCAGCCCCCUUCUGCUAAAGGAACCCUGUGGGGUAACAGCAGGGCACAGCCACUCACCGCCUCUUCUCUUUCUACCUUAGAGUCAUGCUGCACCACACACGGGAAGGCUGUCAACCCCCCCCCCCUCCAAGUGAUCUCUACACUGUGUUCAAUGAGGGAAAGAAUGAAAUGCCAACAGGAUUUUGUCUCAGAACCAGACAACCUGAGCUCUGAAACAUUUCUGAGAAGCUGAGGACCAAGGCUUUGCGCAGCAUGACGCAGCAUCAUGUGGCAGAGGGCCACCUGUCGGUUGUCACCCCUCCCGUCCCUCCCAGAAGGUUCAUGGCAGCACAUUCCCCUUGUCUCUAUCUCACUCCUCAAACGCCUGCAGACUCGCUUGUCUCCUAAGGCUUCCCUGGCAGGGGUGGGGCUAGGAGCAGUUAGGCCGUGCUCACCCACAGCAGCCACAUUCCCUGACUCUCAAAUACCCGAUUCCGUAGUUCUCGCCACCAGAGUCCUACAAAGAGUCCGUGGUUCUGACUUCUCCUUGGUAAACAGGGCCUACAGGAGACACAUCCCAUUAUGGACAUUCAUAAACCAAAGGGCUGGACCUUUGUUCUGUUCCCUGUCUCUGGAAUUCAGAAACAACUUACCCGCAGCAGCUUACUAUGGCCUGCUCAUCAAUGGCAUGGGGUGGGACCUCUCCACUCUGAAACUAAGGAGAGAGGAUCACUCUGCUUUGUGGGCCUGAGCUCUCCCCAGAGCCCCCUUUCCUUGACAUUAAGAAUCCCCCUAUUAAAUUUCUUAUUCAAAAGAACUCCACCUCAGAGUCCUCUGGUGUAGGCAGAAGUUUCUGUCCUGCCAACAACUCCCAAAUAAACACCCUGAAACUUAAUAUUACUUAUAAAUGCUCAGCCAAUAGCUCAGGCUUAUUACUAACUAGCUCUUAUAUUUUAAGUUAACCCAUAUUCCUUGUUUAUGCUCUGCCAUGUUACAGUACCUUUAUUAGCAAGGCACAUUCAUCUCCUGUUCCCUCUCUAUCUGUCUGGCAUCUCCUGACUCUGCCCCUUCUCCUUCCCAUCAUCCUUAGUGUGUUCACCCUAACUGUACUUCCUGCAUGACUACUGAGCAAUCAGUGUUUUAUUAAACCAAUUCCAGUGACAAA